ensembl:lncRNA
GUCAACUCCAACAACAAACUGCCGAUAUCAACGAGCGGUUCGCUCCACUGGAGCGUUCGGGACUCUGCGGGUUUCUGUCCAUGGAGGAGAGGAACCGACCCAAGUUCCGAUCCCAAGAUAGCGGAAGCGGUGCACCGUCUUCACAACUCCGAGACUAAUUACAGGCGCUACGAACCGGAGCAAGGACUAAUCUCGCCUCAUAAUGAGGCGGUGACCUCGUAUUUGCUCCGGGAAAAAUCCAGAUUUAGACGACGUCAUUGUGUCCGCCUGUGAGACGUAUUGUGAGACGGGACGCAGGAGCUUCAGGUUCAGGCGGAACACUCAUUGCGAGCGGAAGCUGCGAAGGAUUCAGCGCGGAGUUGAGCGAGAAGAAAGCGGCUGCUGGAAUCGAGACAAAGUGUGCUGGCUGAUGACGAGGUGGAACGCUGGAAAUCCGCCACCGUGGAGCUCACGUCGGACGGAGGGGACGGCGUUGUUGGCGGGGUCUCGGGGUGGAUUGUACGGUCGCCACACGCACACGAGCCGCCUGCACAACAGACCUGCCUCGGAAAACACGGCGCCAGUGACGGUCAACAACCC